rnacentral:RNase_P_RNA from 1 species
CGACCGGCAAGGGUGAAAAGGCGAGGUAAGAGCUCACCGGACGCGCGGCGACGCGCGUGCCUGGCAAACCCCACCCGGAGCAAGAUCGAAUAGGGGAGGAUGAAGCGGCCCGCCGACUCCCGGGUACGAUCGCGCAGAUAAAUGACUGGACACGACAGAACCCGGCUUACGAAACUCUUCCCCUU